UACCGGCGGCCCGAGUGGCGGCCGGGUUUAUUGGGCCUAAAGGGUCCGUAGCCGGCCCCGUAAGUCUCCCGGGAAAUCGGGCGGCUCAACCGUCCGCUUCCGGGAGAUACUGCGGGGCUAGGGACCGGGAGAGGCCGGGGGUACUCCCGGGGUAGGGGUAAAAUCCUAUAAUCCCGGGGGGACCACCUGUGGCGAAGGCGCCCGGCUGGAACGGGUCCGACGGUGAGGGACGAAGGCCGGGGGAGCAAACCGG
rnacentral:rRNA from 1 species